rnacentral:rRNA from 1 species
GCGGAGGAAAAGAAAAUAACCAUGAUUGCCCUAGUAACGGCGAGUGAAGAGGCAAAAGCUCAAGUUUGGAAGCUCAAUGGUUUAACCAUUGCGCAUUGUAAACUGAAAACAGGAUCAAUCAGGUACACCGGGUGAUAAGUUCCUUGGAAUAGGACAUCAUGGAGGGUGAGAAUCCCGUCUUUGACCCGAGUCUAGUAUCYUUKUUAUUGGCCUGUUCAAGAGUCAGGUUGUUUGGGAAWGCAGCCUAAAGCUGGAGGUAAAUCCCUCCUGAAGYUAAAUAAUGGCGAGAGACCGAUAGCGAACAAGUACCGUGAGGGAAAGAUGAAAAGAACUCUGAAGAGAGAGUUAAACAGUACGUGAAAUUGCUUAAAGGGAAGCAUAUAAAGCUAGGAUGCGAUUGUUUUUUUCAGGUUGAGCUUUGGCUUGACUGUUCAGAAGGAUAAUCCAAGACAACAAGAAUUGGAGGAGGAGAAUAAGCCAUUGGGGAAGGUAAUCCUUCGGGAUGUUUAUAGACCUGAUGGUUCGCGCUCUUCUUUCGAUUGAGGUACGCUUUUUUUAAAGGUUGUUGUCUGAAUGGCUUUAUAUGGCCCGUCUUGAAACACGGACC